GACUACUUCAUUGGGGAGUAGCCGCUGUUUACAUUAGGUAAACGGGUGAUGGUCAACAUAAUUGUUUUAUCAAACAUGGCCAUCAUAGCAAAGACCAAGAGUCCUUUGUU
rnacentral:sRNA from 2 species